AGUGAACGUUGGCGGCGUGGAUUAGGCAUGCAAGUCGAGCGAGAACCGUAGCAAUACGGGGACAGCGGCGAAAGGGACAGUAAUGUGUAGGUACCUACCUCCGGGUUCGGGAUAGCUGCGGGAAACUGCAGGUAAUACCGAAUAACGUCUCCGGACCAAAGGUGUGAUUCCACCUGGAGAGGGGCCUGCAUCCUAUUAGCUUGUUGGCGGGGUAACGGCCCACCAAGGCGACGUUGGGUAGCGGGUGUGAGAGCACGACCCGCGUCAUUGGGACUGAGACACUGCCCAGACACCUACGGGUGGCUGCAGUCGUGAAUCUUCGGCAAUGGGCGCAAGCCUGACCGAGCGACGCCGCGUGCGGGAUGAAGGCCUUCGGGUUGUAAACCGCUGUCGUAGAGGAGGAAAUGCAGGGGGGUUCUCCCCUCUGUUUGACCUAUUCUAGGAGGAAGUAUGGGCUAAGUUCGUGCCAGCCGCCGCCUAA
rnacentral:rRNA from 1 species